AUGCAUAAGUUGAAUUUACUCGGAUUCCCCUUUAAGACAACAUGGAUGAUACAGAUUUGAGUUUUUGAUGCA